rnacentral:rRNA from 1 species
UACGUAGGGUGCAAGCGUUAAUCGGAAUUACUGGGCGUAAAGCGUGCGCAGGCGGUUAUGUAAGACAGGUGGGAAAUCCCCGGGCUUAACCUGGGAACUGCAUUUGUGACUGCAUAGCUAGAGUACGGUAGAGGGGGAUGGAAUUCCGCGUGUAGCAGUGAAAUGCGUAGAUAUGCGGAGGAACACCGAUGGCGAAGGCAGCCCCCUGGGCUAACACUGACGCUGAGACGCGAAAGCGUGGGGAGCGAACAGG